AGACACAGGCAGAGGGACAUAGACAGGCUCCAUGCACUGGGAGCCCGACGUGGGACUCGAUCCCGGGUCUCCAGGAUCGCGCCCUGGGCCAAAGGCAGGCGCCAAACCGCUGCACCACCCAGGGAUCCCGGCAGGCAUCUUUAUGAGCUACUAAUGAAGGAUGGUUGGAAGAAAGGCAAGCAGAGACAAGGGGCCCCUGCCCUCAAAGGAAACCACCCUUAAAAGGAUUUUACACCACUCUGGAAGGAGCCCUCCACCUUUCCCACGUGGUUCAAUUCCAGAAAAAAAACAAUCUAAAAUGGGACCUCUUGAAGAUUUUUUUCUUUUGGACAAAAGCAAAAUAGGCCUUAUAGCAUAUUAUAUUUUUCUUAAAUGACUAUAACAUCUCUCAUCCCACAUGCUCUUCUUACAAUAUAACUGAUACUUUUCUCAUUAAGUAUAGUCUGUGUCCUUUUUCCAUAAAUUUUUUUUUUUUUACUGUUUCAACAAAUAGUUGAAAUGAUGCUUUGUGACUUCUGAGAAUUAGGCAAUUUCUGCGUUUGAAAGAGGAACUACCCUCGUGUUGACUUCAAACUUUCUAAAUGAGUUAUCUUUUCUAGCUUAUUUCUUAACUCAGGCAAAAGACCCUAAGAGCAGAGCAUCCAAUAGGAUCUGCCCUGAGCCAGCAUGACCUUGUCUGUGAUUGAUUUUAAGACAACGAUUGACCUGAACUCCACUGUCCACCUGCACAAACAUAAU